rnacentral:rRNA from 1 species
GAUGAACGCUGGCGGCGUGCCUAAUACAUGCAAGUCGAGCGAACGGACGAGGAGCUUGCUUCUCUGAUGUUAGCGGCGGACGGGUGAGUAACACGUGGAUAACCUACCUAUAAGACUGGGAUAACUUCGGGAAACCGUAGCUAAUACCGGAUAAUAUUUUGAACCGCAUGGUUCAAAAGUGAAAGACGGUCUUGCUGUCACUUAUAGAUGGAUCCGCGCUGCAUUAGCUAGUUGGUAAGGUAACGGCUUACCAAGGCAACGAUGCAUAGCCGACCUGAGAGGGUGAUCGGCCACACUGGAACUGAGACACGGUCCAGACUCCUACGGGAGGCAGCAGUAGGGAAUCUUCCGCAAUGGGCGAAAGCCUGACGGAGCAACGCCGCGUGAGUGAUGAAGGUCUUCGGAUCGUAAAACUGUGUUAUUAGGGAAGAACAUAUGUGUAAGUAACUGUGCACAUCUUGACGGUACCUAAUCAGAAAGCCACGGCUAACUACGUG